rnacentral:rRNA from 1 species
GCGCGAAAACUUUACAAUGCUGGCAACAGCGAUAAGGGAACCUCGAGUGCCAGGUUACAAAUCUGGCUGUCGAGAUGCCUAAAAAGCAUUUCAUAGCAAGGGCCGGGCAAGACCGGUGCCAGCCGCCGCGGUAACACCGGCGGCUCGAGUGGUAACCGUUAUUAUUGGGUCUAAAGGGUCUGUAGCCGGCCGGAUAAGUCUCUUGAGAAAUCUGGCAGCUUAACUGUCAGGCUUUCAGGAGAUACUGUCUGGCUCGAGGCCGGGAGAGGUGAGAGGUACUUCAGGGGUAGGGGUGAAAUCUUGUAAUCCUUGAAGGACCACCAGUGGCGAAGGCGUCUCACCAGAACGGACCUGACGGCAAGGGACGAAAGCUAGGGUAGCAAACG